CCUACGGGAGGCAGCAGUGGGGAAUAUUGCACAAUUGGCGAGACCCUGAUGCAGCGAAGCCGCGUGAAGGAAGAAGUAUCUCGGUAUGUAAACUUCUAUCAGCAGGGAAGAAAAUGACGGUACCUGAGUAAGAAGCCCCGGCUAACUACGUGCCAGCAGCCGCAGUAAUACGUAGGGGGCAAGCGUUAUCCGGAUUUACUGGGUGUAAAGGGAGCGUAGGCGGCGAUGCAAGUCAGAAGUGAAAGCCCGGGGCUCAACUCCGGGACUGCUUUUGAAACUGUGUUGCUAGAUUGCAGGAGAGGUAAGUGGAAUUCCUAGUGUAGCGGUGAAAUGCGUAGAUAUUAGGAGGAACACCAGUGGCGAAGGCGGCUUACUGGACUGUAAAUGACGCUGAGGCUCGAAAGCGUGGGGAGCAAACAGGAUUAGAUACCCGGGUAGUC
rnacentral:rRNA from 1 species